AAUUUUUUCGUUUAAUAAAUUUCAUACAUAUAAUAUUUUCACCUCUUUUUAUUGCCGCCAAUAUGUCAUCACAUAGUAAUGAAAAAUGAGCUGGGAAUUGGGGAAGACAUGCGUUUAGAAUUCAAACAAUUUAAAUCGGCUCGGAUACGAAUUUUUCAAUCCGAUAUAGUCACUCAAACCUAGUGCUUUGUCUAUUUAGCUGUCAACGGAGAUAUAAUAUUAAACGCAACGUUUAUCAUGUUAGACCAAUGAAGUCGCGAUUGAACAGCUGUUUUAUUGUCAAUGCAUUUUUUUUC